rnacentral:rRNA from 1 species
GACGAACGCUGGCGGCGUGCUUAACACAUGCAAGUCGAACGGAAAGGCCCUGCUUUUGUGGGUUGCUCGAGUGGCGAACGGGUGAGUAACACGUGAGUAACCUGCCCUUGACUUUGGGAUAACUUCUGGAAACUGGGGCUAAUACCGGAUAGGAGCUCCUGCUGCAUGGGGGGGGUUGGAAAGUUUCGGCGGUUGGGGAUGGACUCGCGGCUUAUCAGCUUGUUGGUGGGGUAGUGGCUUACCAAGGCUUUGACGGGUAGCCGGCCUGAGAGGGUGACCGGCCACAUUGGGACUGAGAUACGGCCCAGACUACUACGGGAGGCAGCAGUGGGGAAUAUUGCACAAUGGGAGGAAGCCUGAUGCAGCAACGCCGCGUGCGGGAUGACGGCCUUCGGGUUGUAAACCGCUUUCGCCUGUGACGAAGAGUGAGUGACGGUAAUGGGUAAAGAAGCACCGGCUAACUACGUG